UACGUAGGGUGCGAGCGUUGUCCGGAAUUACUGGGCGUAAAGAGCUCGUAGGUGGUUUGUCGCGUUGUCCGUGAAAACUCACAACUCAAUUGUGGGCGUGCGGGCGAUACGGGCAGACUGGAGUACUGCAGGGGAGACUGGAAUUCCUGGUGUAGCGGUAGAAUGCGCAGAUAUCAGGAGGAGCACCGGUGGCGAAGGCGGGUCUCUGGGCAGUAACUGACGCUGAGGAGCGAAAGCGUGGGGAGCGAACAGG
rnacentral:rRNA from 1 species